rnacentral:sRNA from 1 species
GAUCAAUGUGAGGCUAGUAUAUAUAUCUCAAACACAGAAGGUGAACUCUAUUGUUUGUCGAUUCGAAGCCGUUACUUUAGAUGGAUUCAGGAUUUUAGUUCACUAGACAAAAAUUUCACUAUCACUCCUGGAAACAAUGGUCAUCUGUAUGUAACAGUUCCAACCAAGGCUCUGGUUCUGGCUCUAGAUGUUUUUUCUGGCAAUGUUUUGUGGCAGAGAAGUAU